GACGAACGCUGGCGGCGUGCUUAACACAUGCAAGUCGAACGGAAAGGCCCUGCUUUUGUGGGGUGCUCGAGUGGCGAACGGGUGAGUAACACGUGAGUAACCUGCCCUUGACUUUGGGAUAACUUCAGGAAACUGGGGCUAAUACCGGAUAGGAGCUCCUGCUGCAUGGUGGGGGUUGGAAAGUUUCGGCGGUUGGGGAUGGACUCGCGGCUUAUCAGCUUGUUGGUGGGGUAGUGGCUUACCAAGGCUUUGACGGGUAGCCGGCCUGAGAGGGUGACCGGCCACAUGGGGACUGAGAGACGGCCCAGACUCCUACGGGAGGCAGCAGUGGGGAAUAUUGCACAAUGGGCGGAAGCCUGAUGCAGCAACGCCGCGUGCGGGAUGACGGCCUUCGGGUUGGAAACCGCUUUCGCCUGUGACGAAGCGUGAGUGACGGUAAUGGGGAAAGAAGCACCGGCUAACUACGU
rnacentral:rRNA from 1 species